rnacentral:rRNA from 1 species
CCUACGGGAGGCAGCAGUAGGGAAUAUUGCUCAAUGGGGGAAACUCUGAAGCAGCAACGCCGCGUGGAGGAUGAAGGUUUUCGGAUUGUAAACUCCUUUUGAUAGAGAAGUUAAUGACGGUAUCUAACGAAUAAGCAACGGCUAACUCCGUGCCAGCAGCCGCGGUAAUACGGAGGGUGCAGGCGUUACUCGGAAUCACUGGGCGUAAAGAGGGCGUAGGCGGGUUAGCAAGUCAGAUGUGAAAUCUUAUGGCUUAACCAUAAAAUUGCAUUUGAAACUGUUAGUCUAGAGUAUAGGAGAGGUAGGUGGAAUUCGUGGUGUAGGGGUGAAAUCCUUAGAGAUCAAGAAGAAUACUCAUUGCGAAGGCGACCUGCUAGAACAUAACUGACACUGAUGCGCGAAAGCGUGGGGAGCAAACAGGAUUAGAUACCCUAGUAGUC